UACAGAGGGUGCAAGCGUUGUUCGGAAUUAUUGGGCGUAAAGGGCGCGUAGGCGGUUCGGCAAGUCUCUAGUGAAAUCUCUGGGCUCAACUCAGAGUCUGCUGGGGAAACUGCCGGGCUUGAGUGUGGGGGAGGAGAGUGGAAUUCCCGGUGUAGCGGUAAAAUGCGUAGAUAUCGGGAGGAACACCUGAGGCGAAAGCGGCUCUCUGGACCACAACUGACGCUGAGGCGCGAAAGCUAGGGGAGCAAACAGG
rnacentral:rRNA from 1 species